UCGGACGUGGUGCACGGUGCACAUCCCUUCAACCUGAGUAACCCCAGGGAUCUAAUUAACAGCGGGAAGCCCGGGUUCGACUCCCGGCGUCCGAA